CAGUCGCCGCGGUAACACGUAGGGUGCAAGCGUUAAUCGGAAUUACUGGGCGUAAAGCGUGCGCAGGCGGUUAUAUAAGUCAGAUGUGAAAUCCCCGGGCUCAACCUGGGAACUGCAUUUGAGACUGUAUGGCUAGAGUGUGUCAGAGGGGGGUAGAAUUCCACGUGUAGCAGUGAAAUGCGUAGAUAUGCGGAGGAACACCGAUGGCGAAGGCAGCCCCCUGGGCCAACACUGACGCUCAUGCACGAAAGCGUGGGGAGCAAACAGGAUUAGAGACCCGAGUAGUCCCUGUCUCUUAUAC
rnacentral:rRNA from 1 species